CCCAUGAACCACAAGAUCAUGACCUGAGCCGAAGUCAGACACUCAACCAACUGAGCCACCCAGGUGCUCCCUGACUCUUACAUUUUUAGAUUACACUCUUUCUAAAAAGUUUUUUCCUCUGAUGUUCCAAAAGUACCACAUGCUCAUUGUAGGCAAUUUGAUCAGUAUCAAAAACUAUAAUGAAUAAGAAAUAAGGGGAGAAUAUCCUUUUUAAGAACAUGGAGACAGGAUUGGAAAGCUGAUCCAGGGAUUGCAGGUGUGGGAAUGAGAAAGUCUAUUUAGCCAGCAAACCCUGAAUUAGGUUCUUCAGGCUGGAUUCAAGUAAUUCUUCUACCCUUAUGGACUAUAUGGCAUUGACUGUAUAUACCAUUGACCCUUGAAUAAUACAAGGAUUGGGGUGCCAAGUCUCAUUGAAGUACAAUAUUCAUGUAUAACUUUUGAGUCCCCCAGAACUUUAGUACUCAAGUAAUAGUCUACUAUUAACCAGAAGCCUUAGUGAUAACAUAAAGUCAAUUAACACCUCUUUGUAUGUUUCGUGUAUCAUAUAUUAUUAUAGUAAACUAGAGAAAAGCAAAUGUUACUGAGAAAAUCAUAAGGAAAAUACAUUUACAGUACUGUACUGUAAAAUUCUGCAUAUAAGUGGACCUGUGUUGUUCAAGGGUCAAACCUGUUUUGUUCAAAGGUCAACUAUAUAUAGAUAUCACUGAGUCAUUAAACCCAUGAUUUUGCUGAUAUUUUGUAAAGGACAGGGGUUGAAUGAGUAGAUUAACUCAGUAGUGCUCAGGCUGACAAAAAUCAUGGAAGGUGGUAGCUGAAUGAUUGGGGUUUGAAAGCCUGCUACAGAAUGUAGACCUUUGGCAACAAAGGCACAGGGAGAGUGCCAUGUGAGGACGGAGGACUGGAGAGAUGCAUCCAUAAACCAAGGAACUCCUGAGGCCACCAGAAGCAGGGUAGAAGCCUGGAACAGGUCCUUCCUAGUGCCUUCAGGGGGGAGUAUAGCCUACUGACUUCUUGACUUGAGGCUCUGGCUUUCCGAACUGGGAGACAAUAAAUUUCUGCUGUUUUUAGCCACCUGGUAUGUGGUACUUCAUUAUGGCAGCCCUAGGAAACUAAUGUACCCAUUAUCCUCAGCAGUGUCUCAAGACUUCAAGAAGGUCUUCACAGCCAGAGUCUGGAGAAUCCUGCAUUGGCCUUUUCCCAGCCCUACUCCUAAUGGCCGCUCCCUGUGACUAACUAGCAUGUGCUCGGUCAUUUUUGAUUGGAACUGACUUAGUUGAACUUGCGUGAUCGCUCCUACCCAGCUGAGAGCUCAGAAUCCCCAAGAAACAAGAGAUGGUAGAUGCAUUUCAUAGAAGAGUUGGGAGGAAGAAAAAUCUGGGUCAUGGGUGUGGGGAAACUGUGGAAGGGGGACAUAACUACAGACAGAGGGACGGGAACAAAGAGACUCCCCUUAUUUCUUUGCUGGUGAAGGCUUGAGGUGUUCUACCCCUGCCUCGACCCUGGUAUCAGUCCUCAAGGCAGUAUUUGGGGAGACAGGGAUAAGAGAGCUGUGUGCUUGUCCUGGCACAGCCAUGAACUUUGUGUCCUCAGACUAUUCAUUUAGUCUCAGGGAUUAGUUCCACCUUUAUAAUUCUGGGAAGACCUAGCUGUUUGAUUCCAAAUGGAGAAAUAGAAAAUUCUAGGAUGAGCUCACCUAUAAGAACAGCAGCGAUUAAUUGCCUGCCUCGUUCUGGUUCAUUUCCAGCACUGUUAUUUAUGUUGUUCCUCUUAAUUUUUUCCUGCUGUUUCAGCUUUACAAGGGGUAUCCAAUUACUUCCUCUGUGACAUUUUUUUUUUUUUAACUUUUGAGUGCCAGAAAUCUCACCUCAGAAGGGGUUUCUUUUUCUGGUAAAAAUCUCUUGAAUCGGUCCCUUUCUUUCUGUGAGGGCUGCUCCUGCCCAGGUCCAGGGCCUCUGCAUCUCAGGUCUAGAUUCUUAGAGGUGUCAUCCCUAAAAGGAGCCUUCCUGCUUCCCAGAUGGCUCAUUCGCUAUAUUGUGCCAGCCAGAAUCUGGGGCUCAUCCCUGGCUCGCUCUUUCCCCCCACCCCACUCCAAUUAGUUACCACUAAGACCUCACUAUUCUACUUCCUUGAUAUCUCUCAGAUCCACCCUUUUCUCUCCACCCUCACCUCUGUCACAUUGCUCAGCAGAACUACUGAUAUCCAAAUGGGGUUCCUGCAUUAUACACACCUUUCCAGACGGCAUGCACUGUCCCUAGAAUGUGCUUGCUUAUGGGCAGCUCACCUGUAUCAAAGCUUGUAAUAAAGGGCCCUACAAAUCCAGAAUAGAGUCUCAACUCUUCAGUGGGGCGUAUGAGGCCUUUUAGAGUAGCUCCUACUUGCCUCUCAAAGUCAUGUCCCUCCCACUCAUGCUCUUUUGGGUUCUCCAUAAAGCACGUGCAGCUCCUAGAACAGGCAACACUUUUCUUUCUCACCUCUGGCUCUUCCUUCUACCUGGAACACCUUUAUCUUUGAUCCUCACCUUCACUCCAUUCCUCGUUCAGGACUCAACUCACUGGACUUUUCUGGAACGGAGAAGUCACUCCACCUUCUAUGUCCCUCACAUGGUCUGUUCUCCGUCCCAUUUCUGCCAUGCCACACUGCAAGUCCCAUGGGACAGAGAGGGGAUUUGCUCACUGCUGUAUCCACAUAGAAGCCUCUCAAAAUUCAUCAGAUGACUUGUUGAAUGAAUGGAUAUUUAAAUUCAUGCAUAUAAAUGUGAAUGAUUGAAUGAGUGGAGACGUUUGCAUAGCAUCAUGAUGGAACCUUGUCUCUGCAUUCGUGUAAGCUGCGCUUGCUGCUCGGACCAAUAGGAAAUCUACUCUGAUGCCAGAGUCAACCCAUAGCAGGAUAAUUCAGGAAAAUUGAAUUAAAAUUUUAAAAAUAAUGGUUUUUAGAUUUUCCUUCCUGGAAUGCAUUAGAAAGUGAGACCGGAGACCAAGGCCGUCCUGGGAUGGCUUAGCGUCACCCUGGAGGUUGGGGGGAGAGCCUGGAAAUGACUAGAUUUCCCUCAAGCUCUUUGAAUCUGGUCUCAGGUUUAUGCUGGGAGCCUUUCCCACUACUCGACCAAGAAGUGAUUUACUGAACAAUGACCUCAUUUUACAUUUCACAAUAUGUGUGUCAUAUAAGCAGUCUGUGCUGCUGAACGGUUUCCUGUAAACAUUUACAAUGGUUUGAGGCACUGGGGCCAGUCCCCAGUAGUUCUGGGAAAGACUUUUUAGAAAACAAGAAGGAACCUCUGCCCCAACUGUACAUUGGACACUGCAGAGUAAUUAUACAGUAGAGGUCAGGCCCAGGGUGAUAAUUAGCCUUGGGGGUGCCAGAGGGCCUCCUCGCUUUUGCUCUCCCAGCAAUUUUCUGGGAGGAGACAGAGCUGAGUUUCAGCAGGAUGGAGGCCGCUGGGUGUGAAAUGCCCUCCGCUUCACACCGGGGGCCCAUGUGCCACAUGGACUAGACCUUGCUCCCAAAGCAUGGUCUCAGGAUCUACAGCAUCAGCAUCACCUGGGAGCUUACUGGAAAUGUAGGAUCUCAGAAACUACUCGGAGCUACCAGUCGGAAUCUGCGUGUUAACAUCCUGGCGACUCAAAAGCACGUUACAUUUUAGGAAGUCAUGAACUAGAACUAAGGUGUCAGGACCUCACUUGAGAGGCAGCAGGGAAGCACCUGUGAGGCUGGCUCAGCCCCUCAGCAAAACUCAGAACUAUAAACAUCCUGCCACUUCCAGGCAAACAUGGCUCCCGGCAGCUGUUGUCCAAAUACAACAUGAGCCAGAUGCCAUUCCAGAUCCCUAAUCCAGCUUUCAUCAGACCUAAUUCCCUACCACCUCUCAUGAGAGGGACCAGAGAGACUUGGAUGACAUUAGGAUUGCAUAACUACACUUCUCAUGAAGUUUCUUCCACCUUAAGGCUUCGUUCAGCAUUUUGGCAUCCUGAUCCACAUCAAAACCUUGAUGACUUCUUGCUUUGGCCUGGAGAAAAUAAUUGAAAAGCAUGUCUACACGUCACUUCUCUGUGUCUCCAUGUUCCUGCAUCUUAAACAAGGAAACGAAUGAUCCAUUUUUCUGGAAGGAGGAGUUAUACAAAAUGAACUGAGAUGCUAUGAGCCUGGAUGCAGAAUGAAUGCCGAAAACACCCACUCUGUGAAAUGACUCAGAGACAGGCCAACUUCAGCACGUCGAGUGCCUAGGAGGGAGGUUGGCUGUUGUACCAAUUCAGAUACUACAUCCCCUACCCUGCCCCACCAGCCACAAGGGCCCGAGUGGUGACACAGACAGCUGACCAAAGGCUUCUCUCCUGGUCCAGGUCAAGGAAAGCUUAACUCUUGGGAUCAAAGGGAACAUUUUAAGAAAAUCUUCCUCCAGCUUGCAGCAAACUCUGGAGAUGGAGUUUGUGAAAAUUUAGCUGAGGGAUAUGAUUGGCAGACUGUUGCUAUGUAUUAUGUGGUAACCAGGAUGUUCCAGGACCCAGCCUUAAGUGCACUCCUAUUUAAGGCCACUCCCACUCAUCAGUCCUGGUGACCUGAUGUAUUUGGAGAGCAUCAAGACUGGGAAAUAAGGAUAUACUUCUCACGAGAGACAUGGGAAUUAAUUAAAAAGCAAUACGCCACAGGCAAAUUAGAAUCUCCUCUGAAUGGUUCCUCUUCUCUGCCCGCUUCCUUCUUCUUUCCUCCUCUUUUUUUCCUCCCUCCCCUUCCUUCAACAGACAAGUAGUGAGGGUCUGCUGUGGGGCCAGCACUGCCCUGGUGAGGGGGACUUGAUCAAUGAAGCGCAGGUCUUGUCCCCAGGGAAGUAAACAUGCAAGAAGAUCAAUGACAAUUCCGUUUAUAAUGGGGCAUGGAUGUUGGGUGCAAAUCGCUGAGAGGAAGAAGGGGAAUUUUUAGGGAGAAGUUGACAUCUGUGCUCGUUCAUGAAAUAUGAGUUAGGCAAGCAUAAUACAUACGUAUGUACAUACACACAUAUAUACGUACAUACAUACAUAUGUACACAA